rnacentral:lncRNA from 1 species
GGAACUGUUAAGGGUGACUAUUAAUUUCCACCAUUCUUGUCCCUUAUGUGAAUCUCAAUGAUUUUACAUUUUAUUGUUUAAUUAUUUCAUGGAGUAUCUUCAGCCUUCAGGUUUAGGAGCAAUUUUAUUAUUCACACUUUGCAAUAUAAGUGUGAUUUUAAUCAUCUAUGAUUAUGUUCUUGAUUCUAUCCUUUGAACAUUGUCUAAUGCUAUAUCUCUCAAAUAUUUACGUUUCAUUGCAGAUUUGAAGGAGUUAUCCUAGUUGUUUAGAGCAGACUUUGGAGGGGUUUUAAUAACUUUCUACCUCUCAUUUAAUCUAUGUGCAUUCUGAGCUUAGGCCAUCCAUUUUAUCCCAUUCUCAUUUACGGACCCCAGGCAUGCAUGUUGAUCAAUGUGAUUUGACCUCCACAAAACAUUGGCAUCCAACUCUUUAGUUUUGGUUGGAAGUUAUAAAUGUCCACUUGUGAAUGUAAAUUGUUGUGAACUUGGAAUAAGUGAGACUUUGUGAAAAAAUUAUCUUUUAAUGAAAGUCAUAUGAGAUUCUAAUCGACUUUGGUCCAG